rnacentral:snoRNA from 1 species
CCCCAAUUCUCUUGUCAGGACACCUUCCCUCCUUUUCUCCCAUGGAGGUCGUCUGUUACAGCAUUGGGAGAUCAAAUUUGCCAUUCUCGACUGCCCCGGCCUUGUGUCGGUGGCUGAUGGGUGCCGUUUUGGUCACUAUCAUGAGAUGGUCCGAGGGUCGAAUGAGUUGAAGCCUUCAUGGCCCUUUCAGGGCAUCAACUGGAGACUUCUUAGUUAUGACUCGCACAUUA